CGGUAGGGGCAAGCGUUGUCCGGAAUUAUUGGGCGUAAAGAGCGCGUAGGCGGUCCGAUAAGUCGGCUGUGAAAGUCAGGGGCUCAACCCUUGAAAGCCGGCCGAUACUGUCGGACUAGAGUCCGGAAGAGGCAAGUGGAAUUCCCGGUGUAGCGGUGAAAUGCGCAGAUAUCGGGAGGAACACCAAUGGCGAAGGCAGCUUGCUGGGACGGUACUGACGCUGAGGCGCGAAAGCGUGGGGAGCAAACAGGAUUAGAUACCCUGGUAGUCCACGCCGUAAACGAUGGGCACUAGGUGUGGGAGGUGUCGACUCCUCCCGUGCCGCAGCUAACGCAUUAAGUGCCCCGCCUGGGGAGUACGGCCGCAAGGCUA
rnacentral:rRNA from 1 species